GACGAACGCUGGCGGCGUGCUUAACACAUGCAAGUCGAACGAAAAGGCCCUGCUUUUGUGGGGUGCUCGAGUGGCGAACGGGUGAGUAACACGUGAGUACCCUGUACUUGACUUUGGGAUAACUUCAGGAAACUGGGGCUCAUACCGGAUAGGAGCUCUUGCUGCAUGGUGGGGGUUGGUAAGUUUCGGCGGUUGGGGUUGGAAUCGCGGCGUAUCAGCUUGUUGGUGUGGUAGUGGCUUACCAAGGCUUUGAGGGGUAGCCGGCCUGGGAGGGGAAGCGGCCACACUACGACUGAGAUACGGCCCAGACCCGAAUGCGACGGAGAGGAGGAGAGGAGUAUAUAGGAGGCUGGAGGCAGGUCUGACAACGCCGUGCCGGGGAAGACAUGCAGGGGGUUGUGAUCCAAUGCCGCCUUAGACGAGGCGUUAGUGACGGUAACGGGUGAAUAAGCACCGGCUAACUACGUG
rnacentral:rRNA from 1 species